UGGGGAAUUUUGGACAAUGGGGGCAACCCUGAUCCAGCCAUUCCGCGUGAGUGAAGAAGGCCUUCGGGUUGUAAAGCUCUUUCGCAAGGGAAGAAACGAUACAGACGAAUAAUCUGUGUUAAUGACGGUACCUUGAUAAGAAGCACCGGCUAACUACGUGCCAGCAGCCGCGGUAAUACGUAGGGUGCGAGCGUUAAUCGGAAUUACUGGGCGUAAAGCGUGCGCAGGCGGUUUUGAAAGUCAGAUGUGAAAUCCCCGGGCUCAACCUGGGAACUGCGUUUGAAACUCCAAAGCUAGAGUAUAGGAGAGGGGGGUAGAAUUCCACGUGUAGCAGUGAAAUGCGUAGAGAUGUGGAGGAAUACCAAUGGCGAAGGCAGCCCCCUGGCUUAAUACUGACGCUCAUGCACGAAAGCGUGGGGAGCAAACA
rnacentral:rRNA from 1 species